rnacentral:rRNA from 1 species
GACGAACGCUGGCGGCGUGCUUAACACAUGCAAGUCGAACGGUGAAGCGCCUUCCUUUUUGGUGGGUGUGGAUGAGUGGCGAACGGGUGAGUAACACGUGAGUAACCUGCCCCUUUCUUCUGGAUAACCGCAUGAAAGUGUGGCUAAUACGGGAUAUUCUGUGUCUGUCGAAUGAUGGGUCCGGGGAAGCUAUUGUUUCGGAGUGGGCUGGGCUCGCGGACUAUCAGGUUGUUGGUGGGGUGAUGGCCUACCAAGGCGGUGCCGGGUAGCCGGCCUGAGAGGGUGGACGGCCACACAGGGACUGAGCGACGGCGCAGACUACUACGGGAGGCAGCAGGGAAGAUUAUUGAACAGUGGGCACAAGGCUGAUGCAGCGACGCGGCGUGAGAGAUGGACGCCUUCUGGUUGUGAACCUCUUUCGCCAGUGAAGCGGGGCUGCCUCGUUUGUCGGUGGGUUGACGGUACCUGGAGAAGAAGCACCGGCUAACUACGUG